rnacentral:rRNA from 1 species
GAUGAACGCUGACAGAAUGCUUAACACAUGCAAGUCUUUGGCGAAGCUGUGCUCGCCCAGCCUAGCCAAGGCGGACGGGUGAGUAACGCGUAAGGAACUUGCCCUGCAGUCAGGGAUAACAGACGGAAACGACUGAUAAGACCUGGUAAAGUCAGGCGGACUCAUGUCCAGCCUGAUGAAAAGAGAUGCUGCAGGAGAGCCUUGCGUCCUAUUAGCUUGUUGGUGGGGUAACGGCCCACCAAGGCGAUGAUAGGUAGCCGGCCUGAGAGGGUGGACGGCCACAAGGGGACUGAGAUACGGCACUUACCACUACGGGAGGCAGCAGUGGGGAAUAUUGGACAAUGGGGGCGACCCUGAUCCAGCAAUUCUGUGUGCAAGAUGAAGGUUUUCGGAUUGUAAAGUGCUUUCAGCAGGGAAGAAAAAAAUGACGGUACCUGCAGAAGAAGCGACGGCUAAAUACGUG